rnacentral:rRNA from 1 species
GACGAACGCUGGCGGCGUGCCUAAUACAUGCAAGUAGAACGCUGAAGGAGGAGCUUGCUUCUCUGGAUGAGUUGCGAACGGGUGAGUAACGCGUAGGUAACCUGCCUGGUAGCGGGGGAUAACUCUUGGAAACGCUAGCUAAUACCGCAUAUUAGUAGUUGUUGCAUGACAUUUGCUUAAAAGGUGCAAUUUCAUCACUACCAGAUGGACCUGCGUUGUAUUAGCUAGUUGGUGAGGUAACGGCUCACCAAAGCAACGAUACAUAGCCGACCUGAGAGGGUGAUCGGCCACACUGGGACUGAGACACGGCCCAGACUCCUACGGGAGGCAGCAGUAGGGAAUCUUCGGCAAUGGACGGAAGUCUGACCGGGCAACGCCGCGUGAGUGAAGAAGGUUUUCGGAUCGUAAAGCUCUGUUGUAAGAGAAGAACGAGUGUGGGAGUUGAAAGUUCACACUGUGACGGUAUCUAACCAGAAAGGGACGGCUAACUACGUG